rnacentral:rRNA from 1 species
CCUACGGGAGACAGCAGUGAGGAAUAUUGGGCAAUGGACGAGAGUCUGAACCAGCCAAGUAGCGUGAAGGAUGACUGCCCUAUGGGUUGUAAACUUCUUUUAUAUGGGAAUAAAAUGUUCCACGUGUGGGAUUUUGUAUGUACCAUAUGAAUAAGGAUCGGCUAACUCCGUGCCAGCAGCCGCGGUAAUACGGAGGAUCCGAGCGUUAUCCGGAUGUAUUGGGUUUAAAGGGAGCGUAGGUGAAUUGUUAAGUCAGUUGUGAAAGUUUGCGGCUCAACCGUAAAAUUGCAGUUGAAACUGGCAGUCUUGAGUACAGUAGAGGUGGGCGGAAUUCGUGGUGUAGCGGUGAAAUGCUUAGAUAUCACGAAGAACUCCGAUUGCGAAGGCAGCUCACUGGACUGCAACUGACACUGAGGCUCGAAAGUGUGGGUAUCAAACAGGAUUAGAUACCCGGGUAGUC